rnacentral:rRNA from 1 species
AACAGGAUUAGAUACCCUGGUAGUCCACGCCGUAAACGAUGCUAACUCGUUUUUGGGUUUUCGGAUUCAGAGACUAAGCGAAAGUGAUAAGUUAGCCACCUGGGGAGUACGUUCGCAAGAAUGAAACUCAAAGGAAUUGACGGGGGCCCGCACAAGCGGUGGAUUAUGUGGUUUAAUUCGAUGAUACGCGAGGAACCUUACCAAGGCUUAAAUGGGAAUUGACAGGUUUAGAAAUAGACUUUUCUUCGGACAAUUUUCAAGGUGCUGCAUGGUUGUCGUCAGCUCGUGCCGUGAGGUGUUAGGUUAAGUCCUGCAACGAGCGCAACCCCUGUCACUAGUUGCCAUCAUUCAGUUGGGGACUCUAGUGAGACUGCCUACGCAAGUAGAGAGGAAGGUGGGGAUGACGUCAAAUCAUCACGGCCCUUACGCCUUGGGCCACACACGUAAUACAAUGGCCGGUACAGAGGGCAGCUACUAUGCGAAUAGAUGCGAAUCUCGAAAGCCGGUCUCAGUUCGGAUUGGAGUCUGCAACUCGACUCUAUGAAGCUGGAAUCGCUAGUAAUCGCGCAUCAGCCAUGGCGCGGUGAAUACGUUCCCGGGCCUUGUACACACCGCCCGUCAAGCCAUGGAAGUCUGGGGUACCUGAAGUCGGUGACCGUAACAGGAGCUGCCUAGGGUAAAACAGGUAACUAGGGCUAAGUCGUAACAAGGUAACC